GGUAUGCUUUAGGAGGGGCUUGCGCCAUAUUAGUUAGUUGGUAGGGUAAUGGCCUACCAAGACGAUGAUGUGUAGCUGGACUGAGAGGUUGAACAGCCACAUUGGGACUGAGACACGGCCCAAACUCCUACGGGAGGCAGCAGUAGGGAAUUUUCGGCAAUGGAGGAAACUCUGACCGAGCAACGCCGCGUGAAUGACGAAGUACUUCGGUAUGUAAAGUUCUUUUAUCAAGGAAGAAAAGCAAAUGGCGAACCAUUUGUUUGCCGGUACUUGAUGAAUAAGCCCCGGCUAAUUAUGUGCCAGCAGCCGCGGUAAGACAUAAGGGGCAAGUGUUAUCCGGAAUUAUUGGGCGUAAAGGGUGCGUAGGCGGUCUAAUAAGUCAGUGGUGUAAUGGCAACGCUUAACGUUGUCCGGCUAUUGAAACUGCUAAACUUGAGUUAGAUAGAGGCGAGUGGAAUUCCAUGUGUAGCGGUAAAAUGCGUAAAUAUAUGGAGGAACACCAGAGGCGUAGGCGGCUCGCUGGGUCUUAACUGACGCUGAGGCACGAAAGCGUGGGGAGCAAACAGGAUUAGAUACCCUGGUAGUCCACGCCGUAAACGAUGAGUACUAAGUGUCGGGUUAAACCGGUACUGAAGUUAACACAUUAAGUACUCCGCCUGAGUAGUACGUACGCAAGUAUGAAACUUAAAGGAAUUGACGGGACUCCGCACAAGCGGUGGAUCAUGUUGUUUAAUUCGAAGAUACCCGAAAAACCUUACCAGGUCUUGACAUGUUUUUGCAAAAUGAUAGUAAUAUCGUGGAGGUUACCAGAAACACAGGUGGUGCAUGGUUGUCGUCAGCUCGUGUCGUGAGAUGUUAGGUUAAGUCCUAAAACGAGCGAAACCCUUAUCGUUAGUUGCCAGCACGUUAUGGUGGGGACUUUAACGAGACUGCCAAUGAUAAAUUGGAGGAAGGUGAGGAUCACGUCAAAUCAGCAUGCCCCUUAUGACCUGGGCUACAAACGUGAUACAAUGGCUGUUACAAAGGGUAGCUGAAACGCAAGUUCUUGGCCAAUCCCCAAAAACAGUCCCAGUCCGGAUUGAAGUCUGCAACUCGACUUCAUGAAGUUGGAAUCGCUAGUAAUCGCGAAUCAG
rnacentral:rRNA from 1 species